UCCUACGGGAGGCAGCAGUGGGGAAUUUUCCGCAAUGGGCGAAAGCCUGACGGAGCAAUACCGCGUGAGGGAAGACUGCCUAUGGGUUGUAAACCUCUUUUUUCAGGGAGGAAUAAAUGACGUGUACCUGAAGAAUAAGCAUCGGCUAACUCCGUGCCAGCAGCCGCGGUAAGACGGAGGAUGCAAGUGUUAUCCGGAAUCACUGGGCGUAAAGCGUCUGUAGGUGGUUUAAUAAGUCAACUGUUAAAUCUUGAGGCUCAACUUCAAAAUCGCAGUCGAAACUAUUAGACUAGAGUAUAGUAGAGGUAAAGGGAAUUUCCAGUGGAGCGGUGAAAUGCGUAGAUAUUGGAAAGAACACCGAUGGCGAAAGCACUUUACUGGGCUAUUACUAACACUCAGAGACGAAAGCUAGGGUAGCAAAUGGGAUUAGAUACCCCAGUAGUCCUAGCCGUAAACUAUGGAUACUAGAUGUUGAACAGAUCGACCUGUGCAGUAUCAAAGCUAACGCGUUAAGUAUCCCGCCUGGGAAGUAUGCUCGCAAGAGUGAAACUCA
rnacentral:rRNA from 1 species